GUUUAUAUAGUAUAACUAUUAUUUUUAACUUCCAAUUAAAAGAUCUAAAUUAGUAUAAACA
rnacentral:tRNA from 1 species